rnacentral:rRNA from 1 species
UACGGAGGAUGCAAGCGUUAUCCGGAUUUAUUGGGUUUAAAGGGUGCGCAGGCGGGCUUGUAAGUCAGUGGUGAAAUCCUGCCGCUCAACGGUAGGACUGCCAUUGAUACUGCUGGCCUUGGGUAUGGUUGAGGCAGGCGGAAUGUGCAGUGUAGCGGUGAAAUGCAUAGAUAUUGCACAGAACGCCGAUUGCGGAGGCAGCUUGCCAAGCCAUCACCGACGCUGAGGCACGAAAGCGUGGGUAGCGAACAGG